rnacentral:rRNA from 1 species
UUGACCUCAGAUCAGGCAGGAGUACCCGCUGAACUUAAGCAUAUCAAUAAGCGGAGGAAAAGAAACCAACCGGGAUUGCCUCAGUAACGGCGAGUGAAGCGGCAAGAGCUCAAAUUUGAAAUCUGGCGCCGUGGCGGCGUCCGAGUUGUAGUUUGGAGAGGGCGGCUUUGGGGCACGCGCGCGGCCCAUGUCCCUUGGAAGAGGGCGUCACAGAGGGUGAGAACCCCGUGUGGCCGCGCGGCGCUGUGUCCCGUGUAAAGCGCACUCGAAGAGUCGAGUUGUUUGGGAAUGCAGCUCCAAGCGGGUGGUAAAUUCCAUCUAAAGCUAAAUACAGGCGAGAGACCGAUAGCGAACAAGUACAGUGAUGGAAAGAUGAAAAGCACUUUGAAAAGAGAGUGAAAGAGUACGUGAAAUUGUUGAAAGGGAAGGGCAUGUGAGCAGACACGGCGGCGCGCGCUCUUUUGCGCGCGGCGUGCGGGCCAGCAUCGGUUUCUGCCGCCGGACAAGACGCCGGCAACGUGGCUGGGGCCCUCGGGCGCCAGCGGUUUACAGGCCGGGGCGAUGCGGCGAGCGGGGACCGAGGAACGCGACUCUUGCGAGUCAAGGAUGCUGGCGUAAUGGUUACAUGCCGCCCGUCUUGAAACACGGACCAAGGAGUCUAACGUCUAUGCGAGUGUGUGGGUGUGAAACCCGUGCGCGGAAUGAAAGUGAACGCAGGUUGGGGCCGCGCCAGCGAUGGCGGGGUGCACAAUCGACCGAUCCUGAAGUGUUCGGAUGGAUUUGAGUAGGAGCAUAGCUGUUGGGACCCGAAAGAUGGUGAACUAUGCCUGAAUACGGUGAAGCCAGAGGAAACUCUGGUGGAGGCUCGUAGCGGUUCUGACGUGCAAAUCGAUU